UACAGAGGUCUCAAGCGUUGUUCGGAUUCAUUGGGCGUAAAGGGUGCGUAGGCGGCGCGGUAAGUCGGGUGUGAAAUCUCGGGGCUUAACUCCGAAACUGCACUCGAUACUGCUUUGCUUGAGGACUGGAGAGGAGAUUGGAAUUCACGGUGUAGCAGUGAAAUGCGUAGAUAUCGUGAGGAAGACCAGUGGCGAAGGCGGAUCUCUGGACAGUUCCUGACGCUGAGGCGCGAAGGCCAGGGGAGCAAACGGG
rnacentral:rRNA from 1 species